GUAGGAAAUUUGAGAGGAGCUGUCCUUAGUACGAGAGGACCGGGAUGGACAUACCGCUGGUGUACCAGUUGCGCCGCCAGGCGCACCGCUGGGUAGCUACGUAUGGAUGAGAUAAACGCUGAAAGCAUCUAAGUGUGAAACUCACCUCAAGAUGAGAUUUCCCAUUCCUAUAUGGAAGUAAGACCCCUGAGAGAUGAUCAGGUAGAUAGGUUGGAAGUGGCAGUGCAGUGAUGUACGGAGCGGACCAAUACUAAUCGGUCGAGGACUUAACCAAG
rnacentral:rRNA from 1 species